GGAGGGGUCGGAUAGCGGUUCAUUCCACCGCCUUGGAAAGGCGGCGCCCUGCAAGGGGCUCGUGAGUUCGAAUCUCACCCCCUCCGCCA
rnacentral:tRNA from 1 species